rnacentral:lncRNA from 1 species
UGGAAUACCUGGCUCCUAUGCAUGUCCUGUUUCCCAUUCCAAAUGGCAUAUAAAGAUCAUCGUUAGGUCUCCUCUCCUUAGAGAAUCGUUCCGGGUCAAACACUUCAGGGUCCGGGUAAUAUUUGGGAUCAUGAUGUAUUUCGUAAAUAGGUGUGAACAGUUUUGUUCCCUUAGCUACUUUGACAUUACCAACUGGUAGCACAGUGUCUUGGACGCACUGUCUACUCAAAUAACCAAUCGGAGGGAACAUUCUUAGCGACUCACUAAGCACUUUAUCUACAUACUCCAUGUCACAUACAACGUCGUAUGUUAUUUUUCCAUCGUAUUUUUCGAAAUAUUCGUCAAUUUCUUGGUGAACUUUUUGUAAAAUAUCUGGGUGCUGACUGAGUAAAGCAAAUGUAGCAAAAAUGCCGUCGGCAGCCGGUUCCACUCCCGCCGUGAAGAAGAAGAAUGCCUGCGCGGACAACAAGCCUGUGGUGGGCUCCAACUCAUAACCCGUCGUUUGAUCCUUCAGGGUACCAUUCUUCUGCAGUUCGAUACAUAAAUCAGCGAAAUCGUGCCUCUUUACGUUCUCUUCUUCUCUCUUUUUAAUAACUUGACCUAUCGCUCCAACGAAAAAGUCCUCAUGCUCCUUAAACACCUUCACCCCUAACAUCCUAAAUAGCUUCGGGGCAAGAUUAAAUAAUGUAAAUUUCACAUUAUUCUUGAAAUUUGAUAUUGACACAUCUUUAGCAAACUUUAGAAACGGGGAUUCAAAUGUUGAUUGUUCUCCAAUACCAAAAAUAGCAGCACAAACGGCAGCAUUGCAGUAAAGCAUGGCAGAUUCAAAGAAAUUGCCUUUCCAUAGUUUUGGGUCACUUUUUAAAUGAGCCACAAAGUCUUGCGCAGUUUUGUCCAUAAUGUAAUACAUGUUCUUCAAUUUGCUUGAUGUGAAUAAUGGAGUCAUGGUUUUUCGCAUUAACUUCCACUUGGGUCCAUUCAGUAAGAUUAUGGACUCAGUCAGUUGGUCACCCUCUACGCUAUCAAGUCCUCUAUGAUUAAAAGAUUGAAAGUCUGAGGACAAAACGUGUUGCACGUUCUUGGCAUCUAUGACGAACAAUGAAGGUGUUAGGAUUUGUCCAAUGGCUACAACCGGCUCAUUUCUAUACGCUUUGUAUAGUUCACCAAAUUU